rnacentral:rRNA from 1 species
GGGUUGUGAGGUUAAGCGACUAAGCGUACACGGUGGAUGCCCUGGCAGUCAGAGGCGAUGAAGGACGUGCUAAUCUGCGAUAAGCGUCGGUAAGGUGAUAUGAACCGUUAUAACCGGCGAUUUCCGAAUGGGGAAACCCAGUGUGAUUCGUCACACUAUCAUUAACUGAAUCCAUAGGUUAAUGAGGCGAACCGGGGGAACUGAAACAUCUAAGUACCCCGAGGAAAAGAAAUCAACCGAGAUUCCCCCAGUAGCGGCGAGCGAACGGGGAGGAGCCCAGAGCCUGAAUCAGUGUGUGUGUUAGUGGAAGCGUCUGGAAAGGCGCGCGAUACAGGGUGACAGCCCCGUACACAAAAAUGCACAUGCUGUGAGCUCGAUGAGUAGGGCGGGACACGUGGUAUCCUGUCUGAAUAUGGGGGGACCAUCCUCCAAGGCUAAAUACUCCUGACUGACCGAUAGUGAACCAGUACCGUGAGGGAAAGGCGAAAAGAACCCCGGCGAGGGGAGUGAAAAAGAACCUGAAACCGUGUACGUACAAGCAGUGGGAGCACGCUUAGGCGUGUGACUGCGUACCUUUUGUAUAAUGGGUCAGCGACUUAUAUUCUGUAGCAAGGUUAACCGAAUAGGGGAGCCGAAGGGAAACCGAGUCUUAACUGGGCGUUAAGUUGCAGGGUAUAGACCCGAAACCCGGUGAUCUAGCCAUGGGCAGGUUGAAGGUUGGGUAACACUAACUGGAGGACCGAACCGACUAAUGUUGAAAAAUUAGCGGAUGACUUGUGGCUGGGGGUGAAAGGCCAAUCAAACCGGGAGAUAGCUGGUUCUCCCCGAAAGCUAUUUAGGUAGCGCCUCGUGAAUUCAUCUCCGGGGGUAGAGCACUGUUUCGGCAAGGGGGUCAUCCCGACUUACCAACCCGAUGCAAACUGCGAAUACCGGAGAAUGUUAUCACGGGAGACACACGGCGGGUGCUAACGUCCGUCGUGAAGAGGGAAACAACCCAGACCGCCAGCUAAGGUCCCAAAGUCAUGGUUAAGUGGGAAACGAUGUGGGAAGGCCCAGACAGCCAGGAUGUUGGCUUAGAAGCAGCCAUCAUUUAAAGAAAGCGUAAUAGCUCACUGGUCGAGUCGGCCUGCGCGGAAGAUGUAACGGGGCUAAACCAUGCACCGAAGCUGCGGCAGCGACGCUGAUGCGUUGUUGGGUAGGGGAGCGUUCUGUAAGCCUGCGAAGGUGUGCUGUGAGGCAUGCUGGAGGUAUCAGAAGUGCGAAUGCUGACAUAAGUAACGAUAAAGCGGGUGAAAAGCCCGCUCGCCGGAAGACCAAGGGUUCCUGUCCAACGUUAAUCGGGGCAGGGUGAGUCGACCCCUAAGGCGAGGCCGAAAGGCGUAGUCGAUGGGAAACAGGUUAAUAUUCCUGUACUUGGUGUUACUGCGAAGGGGGGACGGAGAAGGCUAUGUUGGCCGGGCGACGGUUGUCCCGGUUUAAGCGUGUAGGCUGGUUUUCCAGGCAAAUCCGGAAAAUCAAGGCUGAGGCGUGAUGACGAGGCACUACGGUGCUGAAGCAACAAAUGCCCUGCUUCCAGGAAAAGCCUCUAAGCAUCAGGUAACAUCAAAUCGUACCCCAAACCGACACAGGUGGUCAGGUAGAGAAUACCAAGGCGCUUGAGAGAACUCGGGUGAAGGAACUAGGCAAAAUGGUGCCGUAACUUCGGGAGAAGGCACGCUGAUAUGUAGGUGAAGUCCCUCGCGGAUGGAGCUGAAAUCAGUCGAAGAUACCAGCUGGCUGCAACUGUUUAUUAAAAACACAGCACUGUGCAAACACGAAAGUGGACGUAUACGGUGUGACGCCUGCCCGGUGCCGGAAGGUUAAUUGAUGGGGUCAGCGCAAGCGAAGCUCUUGAUCGAAGCCCCGGUAAACGGCGGCCGUAACUAUAACGGUCCUAAGGUAGCGAAAUUCCUUGUCGGGUAAGUUCCGACCUGCACGAAUGGCGUAAUGAUGGCCAGGCUGUCUCCACCCGAGACUCAGUGAAAUUGAACUCGCUGUGAAGAUGCAGUGUACCCGCGGCAAGACGGAAAGACCCCGUGAACCUUUACUAUAGCUUGACACUGAACAUUGAGCCUUGAUGUGUAGGAUAGGUGGGAGGCUUGGAAGUGUGGACGCCAGUCUGCAUGGAGCCGACCUUGAAAUACCACCCUUUAAUGUUUGAUGUUCUAACGUGGACCCGUGAUCCGGGUUGCGGACAGUGUCUGGUGGGUAGUUUGACUGGGGCGGUCUCCUCCUAAAGAGUAACGGAGGAGCACGAAGGUUGGCUAAUCCUGGUCGGACAUCAGGAGGUUAGUGCAAUGGCAUAAGCCAGCUUGACUGCGAGCGUGACGGCGCGAGCAGGUGCGAAAGCAGGUCAUAGUGAUCCGGUGGUUCUGAAUGGAAGGGCCAUCGCUCAACGGAUAAAAGGUACUCCGGGGAUAACAGGCUGAUACCGCCCAAGAGUUCAUAUCGACGGCGGUGUUUGGCACCUCGAUGUCGGCUCAUCACAUCCUGGGGCUGAAGUAGGUCCCAAGGGUAUGGCUGUUCGCCAUUUAAAGUGGUACGCGAGCUGGGUUUAGAACGUCGUGAGACAGUUCGGUCCCUAUCUGCCGUGGGCGCUGGAGAACUGAGGGGGGCUGCUCCUAGUACGAGAGGACCGGAGUGGACGCAUCACUGGUGUUCGGGUUGUCAUGCCAAUGGCACUGCCCGGUAGCUAAAUGCGGAAGAGAUAAGUGCUGAAAGCAUCUAAGCACGAAACUUGCCCCGAGAUGAGUUCUCCCUGACUCCUUGAGAGUCCUGAAGGAACGUUGAAGACGACGACGUUGAUAGGCCGGGUGUGUAAGCGCAGCGAUGCGUUGAGCUAACCGGUACUAAUGAACCGUGAGGCUUAACCUUACAACGCCGAAGCUGUU